rnacentral:lncRNA from 1 species
CACACACCUACUGGAAACCUCAACAGCCAGGUGACACCACACACCUACUGGAGUUCUCAACAGCUAGGUGACAACUACAGCCACUGCCUUGACCACACAGAUCAUCUAGAGCUCUCCAGUUGACAGGCCCAGAGCUCCACUUGAAUCUUGGAUCUUGAACUUGAAAGCUCUCCAGUUGCAGGCCCAGAGCUUCAGCCUUGUACCCCAGAGACUCCCUGCACCACAGGGGGGGUCUACACACCACCAAGGUGUGGAUGGGUUUUGGUAAACCAGGGCCCUUCCUGGUGGGGUGACCGGGAUUCGAACCCAGGAUCUCUCAAAGCCUUAAC